GCGCCCGUAGCUCAGUUGGAUAGAGUAGCCGGCUUCGAACUGGUUGGUCGGGGGUUCAAAUCCCUCCGGGCGCGCCA
rnacentral:tRNA from 1 species